rnacentral:rRNA from 1 species
UGAGUAAUGCCUAGGAAAUUGCCCUGAUGUGGGGGAUAACCAUUGGAAACGAUGGCUAAUACCGCAUGAUGCCUACGGGCCAAAGAGGGGGACCUUCGGGCCUCUCGCGUCAGGAUAUGCCUAGGUGGGAUUAGCUAGUUGGUGAGGUAAGGGCUCACCAAGGCGACGAUCCCUAGCUGGUCUGAGAGGAUGAUCAGCCACACUGGAACUGAGACACGGUCCAGACUCCUACGGGAGGCAGCAGUGGGGAAUAUUGCACAAUGGGCGCAAGCCUGAUGCAGCCAUGCCGCGUGUGUGAAGAAGGCCUUCGGGUUGUAAAGCACUUUCAGUCGUGAGGAAGGUAGUGUAGUUAAUAGCUGCAUUAUUUGACGUUAGCGACAGAAGAAGCACCGGCUAACUCCGUGCCAGCAGCCGCGGUAAUACGGAGGGUGCGAGCGUUAAUCGGAAUUACUGGGCGUAAAGCGCAUGCAGGUGGUUUGUUAAGUCAGAUGUGAAAGCCCGGGGCUCAACCUCGG